ensembl:lncRNA
CCUGCAUCAGAUAAUCCUGCAUAUAGACAGUCUUCAGUUUUCAGAGAUCCGGGGAAUCCAGACUCGGUGAAGAAUGUUUUUUUCGUUUUCUUUCAAGGUUGUAACCAUGGUAACACACUCACACGUAUGUCUGUCCGUGAUGAAGGAUCUGUUCUGUUCCAGCCAUCAGCUGGUGUCAGGUGACCACGCAGCCUCUAGACGUCACCGCCAACGGCUUCAAACACGGAGUCACCAGGAAGAAUCUGAACACGCCAGCAGCCAGGUCUCGUCUGUGUAAGCUGGAGCUCUUCCAUUCUUUCCUGACUCUGGUGAGAAACACCGACCACGACUCGCUGCCCGACUCGCUCAGGUAACAGACAAGGAGCUCUUUCAGGGAUGCAGCUUUCAGACGCAUGAAACCCAAUACUCACCUGAAGGUUCACCUGCCCCACACACCUGAAGGUUCACCUGCCCCACACACCUGAAGGUUCACCUGCCCCACACACCUGAAGGUUCACCUGCCCCACACACCUGAAGGUUCACCUGCCCCACACACCUGAAGGUUCACCUGCCCCACACACCUGAGAGUUCACCUGCCUCAAACACACCUGAAGGUUCACCUGCCUCAAACACACCUGAAGGUUCACCUGCCCCACACACCUGAGAGUUCACCUGCCCCACACACCAGAAGGUUCACCUGCCCCACACACCUGAAGGUUCACCUGCCUCAAACACACCUGAAGGUUCACCUGCCCCACACACCUGAGAGUUCACCUGCCUCAAACACACCUGAAGGUUCACCUGCCCCACACACCUGAGGGUUCACCUGCCCCACACACCUGAAGGUUCACCUGCCUCAAACACACCUGAAGGUUCACCUGCCUCAAACACACCUGAAGGUUCACCUGCCUCACACACACCUGAGUCUUAUCACCAAAGGUUUGCUGCUCCUUCCUGAGAGGAGAAAUGUCUGAUCUCCUGGAUGACAGCACGGUCGCCGUGGUAACAUCUUCCUCUGUUCACUUUAGCAAAGCAUGAAAAUAAUGACCUGUUAUUAGAUUUCUGUUCAUAUCUACAUACAAACUGAAGUUUGUUCCAAUCAUUAUUGAUUUCUGUCAUCAGUCGAUCUACCUUAAUCUUUGAAGAUCCACUCGGAUGAUUCUGGUUGGAGAGAAAAUAAAAAAAUAUCAGUGAUUUUUAAGACAUAGUUUCUGCAGAGUGGCAGGAAGGAGUUCAUUAAAGUUCACCUCUGAGUUGUGGGCGGUAACGGUGGUGCCCCCCCUCUCCUUCUUUUGCUCACAUUCUCUCCCACUAGCUUACAGCCCUCCUACAACCCCCCCCCCCCCCCCCCCCUCUGUAGUGGGUGGAGACGUCACCGUCUCUCGUCUGUGUUUGUGCAGGACGGCAGCUGGAAACCUACUGGGACUACAAGCAGGCGUCCCGGUCGUACCAGCAGGCCUGGCUGCAGCUGCGCAGACAGGCCUUCCCUCUGUGGCCGCGCGCAGACAGAUCUCUUCUUCUCUUCCAAUAAACAGCCUCUUCAGCUGGAGAAGUUCAUCUCCUGCUUUUCCAAAAGUCUGUAAACGUUAAAUAAACGACUGAAGUCUCUGGGGUUCAGUGUCUGUUUCUGGCUGUGGGGUCGGCUGUGCCGCCUCUG